rnacentral:rRNA from 1 species
UUGAACGCUGGCGGCAGGCCUAACACAUGCAAGUCGAGCGGAUGAAGGGAGCUUGCUCCUGGAUUCAGCGGCGGACGGGUGAGUAAUGCCUAGGAAUCUGCCUGGUAGUGGGGGAUAACGUCCGGAAACGGGCGCUAAUACCGCAUACGUCCUGAGGGAGAAAGUGGGGGAUCUUCGGACCUCACGCUAUCAGAUGAGCCUAGGUCGGAUUAGCUAGUUGGUGGGGUAAAGGCCUACCAAGGCGACGAUCCGUAACUGGUCUGAGAGGAUGAUCAGUCACACUGGAACUGAGACUCGGUCCAGACUCCUACGGGAGGCAGCAGUGGGGAAUAUUGGACAAUGGGCGAAAGCCUGAUCCAGCCAUGCCGCGUGUGUGAAGAAGGUCUUCGGAUUGUAAAGCACUUUAAGUUGGGAGGAAGGGCAGUAAGUUAAUACCUUGCUGUUUUGACGUUACCAACAGAAUAAGCACCGGCUAACUUCGUG